AGUGUGAAGUAGGCAGCAAAAAACGAUAGUCGAUUGGUCGUUGUUCUUCCUUCCUCAGUAUUUCGGUCCUUUCGGUGUCUCGUGUCGUGUCGAGAGACGUCUAGGAACGUCACGAUUUUCUCCACCUUCUACACGAUUUUUUAAUCGUGAUCCACGCACAGUUUCAAUCCAAUCCCUUCGAGGGAUUCAGUGACCAAUAGAAAAAUCAUUAUUGAUUUUGAGAAGAGGAUAAUUUCUAGAAAGGAUACGUCGCAGCUACAGUGUACAUCAUGGCGGUAGAAUCGAGAUGGAUGCCAUGUCAACUGAAAAUCGAGCCGAACAUCUGCAGCUGCGACUACGAUGGCAUAAUCCUGGUGUCAGGAUGCGCACCGGGAUACGACGAGCCCGAGCCUUUCAAAACGGUUCUGUUCAGCGCUGCCCAGAUCGAUUCCGCCCUGGGCGUAAUCGGUGCGGUUUUGCCCAUCAAUUUACCCGCGAAAAGGCUCAUUUACAGUCCGACCGGCCCGCUCAACAUGGAUUACCACGACGUGCGGAGCUUCGCCGAGGCGGCCACUAAGGGCGUAAAGAGAGCGUUGAAAGCUGGUGUCAGGUGUCCACUGUUCGCACUCCUGCCGGAUAUCCGCUUCGAGAACGUCGAACUGGUCACUCUUCUUGGAGCCCUCGAAGGUUUCUACGUGCCGCUAGAGGUGCGAGAGACGUGCCCGGAUCGUUGCUACAAGGCGUGUCAACUGGGCGUCUGGAGUCCGAUUUGUAGCAAGAAGCUUCAAGGUAUCGUGAAGCUGGCCUCGGCGCUCGAGAGUGGAAGAUACGUCGCGAGAGACAUCGGCGGCGCAGAUCCCGAAAGAAUGGCGCCACCAAGGGUCGAGGAGUAUCUGGCGGAGCUGUUCUGCGGCUCGAACGUGUCUAUGCAAGUGGUAUCCGACCAGGAGACACUCCUCCAGGAGUACCCGUUGUUCGCUUGCGUGAACCGUGCCGCCUCUAUGAUCCCGCGGCACGCUGGCAGGAUUAUUUUCCUCACCUACGAGCCACCCAAUCCCGCCUGCAUACUUGAAACGGUAAUGUUCGUGGGCAAGGGCGUUACCUACGACACGGGAGGUGCCGAUAUCAAGAGUAAGGGCAACAUGUUCGGGAUGUCGAGGGAUAAAUGCGGGGCGGCGGCCUGCGCUGGAUUCAUGCAGGUGGUGAAUUUGCUGCAACCACCGACAGUGAAGGCGGUGGCGGCUCUCUGCAUGGUGAGGAAUAGUGUCGGUGAAAAUUCGUACGUCUCGGAUGAAGUGAUCACCGCAAAAUCCGGCACGAGGGUACGUAUUGGAAAUACGGAUGCGGAGGGCCGUUUGGUCAUGGCCGAUGCCCUUUGCCAUAUCAAAGAAAUGGCACUGUGCUCGGUCAAUCCGCACAUUUUCACGGUCGCAACGUUGACGUACCAUGCGAUACUCACAGCUGGUCGAGGAUACUCGAUCGCCAUGGACAACGCCGUGGCGCGUUUGGUGAGCAACGCGGAAAAGCUUCAAGCUUCGGGCGAGACAAUGGGCGACCCGUUCGAGAUAUCCAGGAUACGAAGGGAGGAUUUCAGUUUCCACGAGGGUCGAACGGAAGGGGACGAUAUUCUGAAUUCGGGUAAGGAGAGUUCCGGUGUGACGAACAGGGGCCAUCAAGGACCGUCCGCCUUCCUGAUCAUGGCCUCCGGCCUGGACAAGCACGGCACUCGAUCGGGGACACCUCUAAAAUAUUCUCACUUGAAUAUCGCCCCGAGCGCUGGCGAUAUUCCCGAUCCUCCAACAGGUGCUCCAAUUCUGGCAUUGGCCAAACAGUUUCUCUUUCGCGACUGCGAGGAGGCCAGCUAGACGGGCCAGCUUGUCGAAAUUUUAUUAUUUGAAAUUACGUUUUCAGCUUUCCUGAGUCAGGAUCCAGUCAAUCAUGUUUUUUUUUUAAUUUUGUAUUUCGUAUAUACGCGGAGAGAAGCAGA
rnacentral:misc_RNA from 1 species